rnacentral:tRNA from 1 species
UGAGAAGUAUUUUAAAAAUAAAAUAAUAAUUUUGGAGAUUAUCAAUCCUUGUUUAAGGCUUCUCAA